UGGGGAAUUUUGCACAAUGGGGGAAACCCUGAUGCAGCGACGCCGCGUGAUUUAGAAGGCCUUCGGGUUGUAAAAAUCUUUUCUAUGGGAAGAAAAUGACAGUACCAUAGGAAUAAGGACCGGCUAAUUACGUGCCAGUAGCCGCGGUAAUACGUAAGGUCCGAGCGUUGUCCGGAAUCAUUGGGCGUAAAGGGUACGUAGGCGGGUAAGCAAGUUAGAAGUGAAAUCCUAUAGCUCAACUAUAGUAAGCUUUUAAAACUGCUCAUCUUGAGGUAUGGAAGGGAAAGUGGAAUUCCUAGUGUAGCGGUGAAAUGCGCAGAUAUUAGGAGGAAUACCGGUGGCGAAGGCGACUUUCUGGCCAUAACCUGACGCUGAGGUACGAAAGCGUGGGUAGCAAACAGG
rnacentral:rRNA from 1 species